rnacentral:lncRNA from 1 species
GUGGAUUGGCUGCUUCCAGGCUUCAGGCAUGAUAUCAUCUCUGCUUGGACCUCCCCACCCCCCUCGUCCUCCAGUUCUUCUUUAGGCGGGCAAGCGCCCCCACCCCAGGAUACCCCGUUGCCUUGGAGACCACAAGUUUUCAACCUCGUUGUCUGAAGGAAUGGUAAUUCAUUAUAUGUGUGACACGAGGGUAAAGGGUGCAGGGAGGGAGACCCGCACUGGACAGUUUUGAGGGGAGGUUGUGGACCACAAAAUAAUGAACAAACAUACGUUUCACGCAUGAGAAGAUGGCAGAGAUGGUAGUGAGGGAAAGGUCAUGGCAAACGGCGCUUAGGACAUGGAAAACUGAAGACGGAGUUCUAAAAAGGAACAAGGAGUGGCCGAAGUAUUGUGGAAAGUGCUUCACCUCUCUCCAAGAGAAACACGGCCUUAGGUGGUUUCAUCAUUGUGCGAACACCACGGAGGCUCUUACUCAACCCUAGGUGGUCCGGGCCCAUCACUCAGCGUGGAUUCCUGAUGUAACUGGGAAACAUGAGGUGCAUGAGGCUUUUGCUGACACUGACAUGAUGACACCCCGUUUUACAGUCCACUUUUUUUAUAAGUAGAAGGACUACACCUUAAAUAACAAUAAAAAGUGUAGUAAACACAUAAGCCAGU